rnacentral:rRNA from 1 species
UCCUACGGGAGGCAGCAGUGAGGAAUAUUGGUCAAUGGAGGCAACUCUGAACCAGCCAUGCCGCGUGAAGGAUGACGGCCCUAUGGGUUGUAAACUUCUUUUAUAUGGGAAGAAACUUAUCUACGUGUAGAUAACUGACGGUACCAUACGAAUAAGGAUCGGCUAACUCCGUGCCAGCAGCCGCGGUAAUACGGAGGAUCCAAGCGUUAUCCGGAUUCAUUGGGUUUAAAGGGUCCGUAGGCGGAUCUUUAAGUCAGUGGUGAAAGCCGACAGCUUAACUGUCGAACUGCCAUUGAUACUGGAGAUCUUGAGUACAAAUGAAGUAGGCGGAAUGAGUCAUGUAGCGGUGAAAUGCAUAGAUAUGACUCAGAACACCGAUUGCGAAGGCAGCUUACUAACAUGUAACUGACGCUGAGGGACGGAAGCGUGGGGAGCGAACAGGAUUAGAUACCCUGGUAGUCCACGCUGUAAACGAUGAUUACUCGGUAUUGGCUUCGGUCAGUGCCCAAGCGAAAGUGAUAAGUAAUCCACCUGGGGAGUACGGCCGCAAGGUUGAAACUCAAAGGAAUUGACGGA